UUAUCUCUUAGCCCAAACUUUAUUUUGAAGAUCCUAUAUUGACUCUCUCCAUUUAAAUAAGUGAGACACAAAUGAAAUGACAUAUUUGGGUCUUUCUCUAUAGAAGAAGGGAGCCCAAACCCAACAAAUCUCCCACUCACAACUAUGUGAAGGAAAACGCCAAACUGGAGAUAUCUCAACAAGCUUCAAAUUUCUCUCUU
rnacentral:lncRNA from 1 species